rnacentral:rRNA from 1 species
UACGGAGGGUGCGAGCGUUGUCCGGAAUCACUGGGCGUAAAGGGCGCGUAGGCGGUCCGGUAAGCGUGUGGUGAAAGCCCGGGGCUCAACCCCGGGUCUGCCGUGCGAACUGCCGGACUCGAGCACUGUAGAGGCAGGUGGAAUUCCACGUGUAGCAGUGAAAUGCGUAGAGAUGUGGAGGAAUACCGAUGGCGAAGGCGGCCAUCUGGGACAACACUGACGCUGAAGCACGAAAGCGUGGGGAGCAAACAGG